AGGAAACAAUUCAUGCAUCUCAAACCCCAACUACUAAGCAUAACAGGAAGUGGUUUGUCACUGCAGAUCAAUCCGUCAUUAGUACUGAGGGUGUGAAGGGCAACAUGCAUCGGAAGCAUCACAGCAGUGGCAACAAUGGAAGCAUUCGUCAAUGAAUGCAGCAAACAUGUGGUUGAUGGCGUUAGUGAACGUCGGUUAAUGUCGGGCGGCAGCCACACUGGGUCAUCAUGCAUGAAGACAGGGAAAUGGAGAGGGACAGGCGAAUGAACUACAGCUGAUGUUUCAUGGCAGACACAACUGCCACAGGAAUCACAGACAUCCAGUCCUGGACAUACAGUGUGUGUAGAUGAGGGAAAUUCGAGCUCUGCAUACAACAUAUCCUGCACCCUUCGAACGCACUACUGAACAACUGUGGGCGGUUCCCUACACAGGCAUGUAAACGCAACACAAAGCAUGUCGUUUUUCCACAUACAGGUUAGUGAAUAACUUAAUGAGACAAGCUAAAUGCUAGUUGAUUUACAAGUUAUGUAUGGUAUUUGUUGUUUGUGCUUUGCAUUGAGGUGCUAAAUGAAACAUGGUCUGCCUUCUCAUUCUCAAUAGAGGGGGAAGUGGAAUUCUAAACCCACAAACGUUAGAGACUUAGAGGAAGCUUUGCAGUAUUUAAAACUCAAGCUCUGGUUAAAAUCAACACAAAAUUGUCAUCAAUGACAGCCUUGUAUUAUUGGAUUUUUAUGUAUUGUGGUGGUAUUGUUCAAAACUGACCCUAAGGACAUUUACACUGGGGAACAAGGGCAAGCUUAUCUAUUAACACCAUGCACGCACACACACCCUUUCUCAACAACCAUCAGUGCAUCAUCUGCCCACACGCACUCUCCCUCAGGCACAUACAAACACAAACAGACCUCUAACACACAUUCUCUCUCCGUCACUCCCAAACACUCCCACUCUUUUCAUGCAGAAGCACUUGAAAGGACACACUAACUCGUCCACUCACACAGCACUGAUGUCACUAAGCUUUAUCUGCACUUUGAAGAGGCCCUGUAUUGGAUUUCUGACCUAAGAAGGAGCGUCUCUUGGUGUUGAGUUCAGUGGCCAUGCGGACGUUGGUGCACAGAUUGAGCAUGAUGAGCAUGGUGGCGAUCAUGAUGAUGCUCUGCCACAGCAGCAGCGUCUCGA